GGUCAUCUUACACGCUUCAAGUAGGUAGACAGAUUUCUAUCGGAUACACUGAAUCAUCUAAAAAUGAUAUGGCCCAUUAAACUCUGCAGAUUCAAGUAAUUUUGAGGCCCACUGAAUAAUCCUAAGGCCCAUUGAAGCUCACUACAUCUCUACAGGUAGGCAUGGCCACGGUUCCAGAACCACACCAUCUAGUUCUGGGUCCGGUUCUGGUUUCUUAUAGUUCUGAUUUCGAUUCCUUAUGGUUCUGGUUCUGAUUCCGUAUAGUUGUAUACAAUUUUAUGUAAUUUUUUACCCUUAUCAAUUUUAAUACGAAUAUAACAAUAUAUUUAAAAUUUUAAAUAGAAUGUAAAAAAUAAAUACAAAAUAAAGAUCAUAUUUUAAUUUUAUUAUUAUUCAACAAAGUACGGAGUAAUAAGUAGAUAAUACAAAUUUUAUGAAAAAUACGUCACAUUGUCAAAUUUAAAAAAUACAUUACGCUAUCAAAUAGUAAUCAUUUUAAAUGGAAAAGAAAAUACUUGAUUUUUUCAUUGAAAUUGAGAUGAAAUAUCAAAACAAACAUUAAUUAUUUAAUCAUCUCCAUUGCUUGCGACGGGACUAGAAUCAGUUGUAUAAUUGAAUUCUUCUUCUUCAUCUUUUUCCAUUUCUUGUUGUCUAUAUUCUGCUCUAGUCCAAUCAUCCAUGCAUGCUUGAAUUUCUAGUGAUUUUGGGUUUAAUCUCGAUCUUGUCUCAUCCAAAAUGCUUCC
rnacentral:lncRNA from 1 species